CCUACGGGCGGCAGCAGUGGGGAAUAUUGGACAAUGGGGGCAACCCUGAUCCAGCCAUGCCGCGUGUGUGAAGAAGGCCCUCGGGUUGUAAAGCACUUUCAGUGGGGAGGAACGCCUGUAGGUUAAUACCUAGCAGGAAUGACAUCACUCACAGAAUAAGCACCGGCUAACUCCGUGCCAGCAGCCGCGGUAAUACGGAGGGUGCAAGCGUUAAUCGGAAUUACUGGGCGUAAAGCGCGCGUAGGUGGCUUGAUAAGCUGGUUGUGAAAGCCCCGGGCUCAACCUGGGAACGGCCUCCGAACUGUCUAGCUAGAGUGCAGUAGAGGAUAGUAGAAUUCCCGGUGUAGCGGUGAAAUGCGUAGAGAUCGGGAGGAAUACCAGUGGCGAAGGCGGCCUUCUGGACUGAUACUGACACUGAGGUGCGAAAGCGUGGGUAGCAAACAGGAUUAGAUACCCCAGUAGUC
rnacentral:rRNA from 1 species